rnacentral:rRNA from 1 species
UAGAGUUUGAUCCUGGCUCAGAUUGAACGCUGGCGGCAUGCCUUACACAUGCAAGUCGAACGCGAAAGCGGGGCAACCCGCAAGUAGAGUGGCGAACGGGUGAGUAAUACAUCGGAACAUAUCCAGUAGCGGGGGGAUAACCUGUCGAAAGAUAGGCUAAUACCGCAUACGAUCUACGGAUGAAAGCAGGGGACCGCAAGGCCUUGCACUAUUGGAGUGGCCGAUGUCAGAUUAGCUAGUUGGUGGGGUAAAAGCCUACCAAGGCGACGAUCUGUAGCUGGUCUGAGAGGACGAUCAGCCACACUGGAACUGAGACACGGUCCAGACUCCUACGGGAGGCAGCAGUGGGGAAUUUUGGACAAUGGGCGCAAGCCUGAUCCAGCCAUGCCGCGUGAGUGAAGAAGGCCUUCGGGUUGUAAAGCUCUUUCGGUGAAGACGAAACGGUUAGCGCUAAUAACGCUGACUAAUGACGGUACUCACAGAAGAAGCACCGGCUAACUACGUGCCAGCAGCCGCGGUAAUACGUAGGGUGCAGGCGUUAAUCGGAAUUACUGGGCGUAAAGCGUGCGCAGGCGGUUUGUUAAGGCAGGUGUGAAAUCCCCGGGCUUAACCUGGGAAUUGCGCUUGCAACUGGCAAGCUAGAGUGUGGCAGAGGGGGGUGGAAUUCCAUGUGUAGCAGUGAAAUGCGUAGAUAUGUGGAGGAACACCGAUGGCGAAGGCAGCCCCCUGGGUUAACACUGACGCUCAUGCACGAAAGCGUGGGGAGCAAACAGGAUUAGAUACCCUGGUAGUCCACGCCCUAAACUAUGUCAACUGGUUGUCGGGGAAGAAAUUCCUUGGUAACGAAGCUAACGCGUGAAGUUGACCGCCUGGGGAGUACGGCCGCAAGGUUAAAACUCAAAGGAAUUGACGGGGACCCGCACAAGCGGUGGAUUAUGUGGAUUAAUUCGAUGCAACGCGAAAAACCUUACCUACCCUUGACAUGCUAGGAAGUCCGCAGAGAUGUGGAUGUGCCCGAAAGGGAACCUGGACACAGGUGCUGCAUGGCUGUCGUCAGCUCGUGUCGUGAGAUGUUGGGUUAAGUCCCGCAACGAGCGCAACCCUUGCCAUUAGUUGCUACAUUCAGUUGAGCACUCUAAUGGGACCGCCGGUGACAAACCGGAGGAAGGUGGGGAUGACGUCAAGUCCUCAUGGCCCUUAUGGGUAGGGCUUCACACGUAAUACAAUGGUCGGUACAGAGGGUUGCCAACCCGCGAGGGGGAGCUAAUCCCAGAAAGCCGAUCGUAGUCCGGAUUGUAGUCUGCAACUCGACUGCAUGAAGCCGGAAUCGCUAGUAAUCGCGGAUCAUCAUGUCGCGGUGAAUACGCUCCCGGGUCUUGUACACACCGCCCGUCACACCAUGGGAGUGGGUUCCACCAGAAGUAGUUAGCCUAACCGCAAGGGGGGCGAUUACCACGGUGAGAUUCAUGACUGGGGUGAAGUCGUAACAAGGUAACC